AGGUAUAAUUGAUAUACUUCGCAUGUAAUAAGCUUGGGCACAUGCAUAUAAUAGUUAUAUCACCACAACCAAGGUGCAAAAACAUGUUCAUCACCUCCCUAAACUUCCUUGUGUUCUUUUGUGUCUGUGUGUUAUUUUUGAUUUUGCCUUGGUGAGAACCAUUAACACCUUUAACCUUUAACCUUACCACAGUUUAAAAUACAUAAUACUGUAUUGUUGGCUGUGUUGCACAACACAGCUCUAGAACCUACUCAUUUGCAUAGCAGAAACUUCACACCCAUUGAAAAUCAAUUCCUUAUCUUCUUCCUUCCUCUAUUCCACUCAGAAUUUGGACCAGUUCUUGUGUCUUUGGUGUUGAACAAUUCUAGAUUCUAGAAUCUAGGUCUUCCUUUAAUAUCUGGUCAUCAGAGAGGAUAUCCUCCUGUCUCCUCUGGCCAUAAUCAUUGGCUUCAAAUUAUCUACUCCCCCUUCUUCACUUAGAUCCCAAACUACUCUCGUUGGCUUUUUAAAAAGUUUAAUUCUCGAUCUGGUCUAUAUUUCCUGUCUCUGAGAGACCCACUCAGAUUUGACAUGGUUUGCUGUUGUUUUUACUUUUCUUGAACUGUUUGGAUUUCAGUUCUUUUGAGGAACAUUACUUCAAAAUAGUAACUAUGUUCAGUUACCCCUAACUUUCUCUGAAUUUGUAAGACAAGUGCAUUCUUCGGUAGAGUUGGAGGAUGUACUAUCUAGAGAAAUCCAAGUUAAUACCUUUUCUUUUGGGUUUCAAAGGUGAAAUUGAAACCUAAACAAUAGAUUUGAAGACUAUUUGCUAAGCCUGGUUUGUUUCUCCAUAGAAGGAAGAAAAAUCACCUGUCUAAGGCAAGUCAAAUGGAAAAUUCAAUGAGUAGCCAUUGUGAUGCUCCCAGAGGGGGCGUGGAGGGCUACCUUUUUCUUCUGAGCAGUGUUCUGGAGUGGGUUGGAGAAAAUACUAGCUGUUUAGUGAACAUAAUUUAAUCAUCGAUGAUUCAGGAUCAGGAUGAUUCAGAGUCAUCAUGAAGAAGGUGAAUUAUCAUUGUACCAUUGUGAAGAAAGUGAGAAGACUGGACUGAAUCCAAACUGACCUCAGGGCUUCCCUGGAAGUUAUUUCUUGAAGAAACUUCUGAUGAUGGCUCACUUCUCCUAGAAGAUUUGAGUGCAGAAGGAAAAAAAACCCUCUCUGAAGCUUCUAAGAUGCCUGAGACUGAACCUGACUCUUGCACUGCCACUCUUACCCCCAGAUCUGGAAUUUAAUACAUCUGGGACCCGUGGACUUUGUUGCUGGAUGGUACACAAGGAAUAUGUCUGUAGCUAUCAGCUUGGAGUAGAGAGAAGGAGAGAGGCCUUCAAAUCAAGCAGAUCGAAAAAAAAAAUAAAAAAAUAAAAAAAAUCAAGCAGAUCUGGCUUUGCACCUAGGCUGAUUGGUCUUGGCAAUUUUCUUGUUUUCUGGAAACCAUAGUUUCCUCAUCUUUAAAAUGCAGAUGAUAAAACUCAAAGUACUUGGUUGCUGUGAGGAUAAAAUGAAAGAAUCGAUGUAAGUUGGCAAGUGCAUUGCCAAACAGCGUGGCCACUCUCUCACCUCUUACUUCUUCUUUUGUGUCCUUCAGUUUCUUUGAUGAUCUACAGUAAGAGUCACAAAAUAUGGUGCAUGCCACAUCUGGCCCUCUACCUCUUUUUGUAAAUAAAGUU